rnacentral:rRNA from 1 species
CCUACGGGUUGCACCAGUGGGGAAUAUUGCACAAUGGGCGCAAGCCUGAUGCAGCCAUGCCGCGUGUAUGAAGAAGGCCUUAGGGUUGUAAAGUACUUUCAGUUGGGAGGAAGGCGUUGAUGCUAAUAUCAUCAACGAUUGACGUUACCCGCAGAAGAAGCACCGGCUAACUCCGUGCCAGCAGCCGCGGUAAUACGGAGGGUGCAAGCGUUAAUCGGAAUUACUGGGCGUAAAGCGCACGCAGGCGGUCUGUCAAGUCGGAUGUGAAAUCCCCGGGCUCAACCUGGGAACUGCAUUCGAAACUGGCAGGCUAGAGUCUUGUAGAGGGGGGUAGAAUUCCAGGUGUAGCGGUGAAAUGCGUAGAGAUGUGGAGGAACACCAGUGGCGAAGGCGGCUCUCUGGUCUGUAACUGACGCUGAGGCGCGAAAGCGUGGGGAGCAAACAGGAUUAGAUACCCGUGUAGUC